ACGAACGCUGGCGGCGUGCUUCACCCAUGCAAGUCGCACGGAAAGGCCCUGCUUGCAGGGUACUCGAGUGGCGAACGGGUGAGUAACACGUGGGUGAUCUGCCCUGCACUUCGGGAUAAGCCUGGGAAACUGGGUCUAAUACCGGAUAGGAGCCAUUUUUAGUGUGAUGGUUGGAAAGUUUUUUCGGUGUAGGAUGAGCUCGCGGCCUAUCAGCUUGUUGGUGGGGUAAUGGCCUACCAAGGCGGCGACGGGUAGCCGGCCUGAGAGGGUGGACGGCCACAGUGGGACUGAGAUACGGCCCAGACUCCUACGGGAGGCAGCAGGGGGGAAUAUUGCACAAUGGGCGCAAGCCUGAUGCAGCGACGCCGCGUGGGGGAUGACGGCCUUCGGGUUGUAAACUCCUUUCGCUAGGGACGAAGCUUUUUGUGACGGUACCUAGAGAAGAAGCACCGGCUAACUACGUG
rnacentral:rRNA from 1 species